rnacentral:rRNA from 1 species
UAGGGAAUCUUCCGCAAUGGGCGAAAGCCUGACGGAGCAACGCCGCGUGAGUGAAGAAGGUCUUCGGAUCGUAAAACUCUGUUAUUAGGGAAGAACAAAUGUGUAAGUAACUAUGCACGUCUUGACGGUACCUAAUCAGAAAGCCACGGCUAACUACGUGCCAGCAGCCGCGGUAAUACGUAGGUGGCAAGCGUUAUCCGGAAUUAUUGGGCGUAAAGCGCGCGUAGGCGGUUUUUUAAGACUGAUGUGAAAGCCCACGGCUCAACCGUGGAGGGUCAUUGGAAACUGGAAAACUUGAGUGCAGAAGAGGAAAGUGGAAUUCCAUGUGUAGCGGUGAAAUGCGCAGAGAUAUGGAGGAACACCAGUGGCGAAGGCGACUUUCUGGUCUGUAACUGACGCUGAUGUGCGAAAGCGUGGGGAUCAAACA